rnacentral:tmRNA from 1 species
GGGGCUGCAUAGCUUCGACAAUUGUUCUUUGUAAUAUACGGCAAGCAAGAGCGGCUACAGGCUCUGAUUGUAGCAACUACAAAUGCAAACUCGUUUGUAAACAAAGUCAAACUGGCCUUUACGUCAGCUUUGGCUCCUGUUGCUGUUUAACUGUGACAGGCGAAACUGCUAUCGACUCCGAUAAGUAUCAGUUUCGUAUCAUUUUCGGACGAUCCCUGAUUCUUUUACGAGGUUAAAGGAUCGAAGUCAUUCGUAAAUCGGACUUGAUUCAUUUUGUUAAUUUUUUAGUUUUGAGUCCUAAAUCAAAAAAUUGACUAAGCUUGUAGAAGUGUAUUGAUCGGACUUUUGGACGCGGGUGCGAUUCCCGCCAGCUCCACUU